UCAGAUUGAACGCUGGCGGCAGGCCUAACACAUGCAAGUCGAACGGUAGCACAGAGAGCUUGCUCUCGGGUGACGAGUGGCGGACGGGUGAGUAAUGUCUGGGAAACUGCCCGAUGGAGGGGGAUAACUACUGGAAACGGUAGCUAAUACCGCAUAACGUCGCAAGACCAAAGAGGGGGACCUUAGGGCCUCUUGCCAUCGGAUGUGCCCAGAUGGGAUUAGCUUGUAGGUGAGGUAACGGCUCACCUAGGCGACGAUCCCUAGCUGGUCUGAGAGGAUGACCAGCCACACUGGAACUGAGACACGGUCCAGACUCCUACGGGAGGCAGCAGUGGGGAAUAUUGCACAAUGGGCGCAAGCCUGAUGCAGCCAUGCCGCGUGUAUGAAGAAGGCCUUCGGGUUGUAAAGUACUUUCAGCGGGGAGGAAGGGAGUGAGGUUAAUAAC
rnacentral:rRNA from 1 species